rnacentral:rRNA from 1 species
UACGUAGGGGGCGAGCGUUGUCCGGAUUUAUUGGGCGUAAAGAGCUCGUAGGCGGCUCAGUAAGUCAGGUGUGAAACCUCCAGGCUCAACCUGGAGACGCCACCUGAUACUGCUGUGGCUUGAGUCCGGUAGGGGAGUGUGGAAUUCCUGGUGUAGCGGUGAAAUGCGCAGAUAUCAGGAGGAACACCAGCGGCGAAGGCGGCACUCUGGGCCGGUACUGACGCUGAGGAGCGAAGCGUGGGUAGCAAACAGG